UACGUAGGGUGCGAGCGUUAAUCGGAAUUACUGGGCGUAAAGCGUGCGCAGGCGGUGAGCUGUGUCCGAUGUGAAAGCCCCGGGCUCAACCUGGGAAUUGCAUUCGAGACUGCAUGGCUAGGGUGCGGAAGAGGGAAGCGGAAUUUCCGGUGUAGCGGUGAAAUGCGUAGAUAUCGGAAGGAACACCAGUGGCGAAAGCGGCUUCCUGGUCCAGCACCGACGUUCAGGCACGAAAGCGUGGGGAGCAAACAGG
rnacentral:rRNA from 1 species